rnacentral:rRNA from 1 species
GUGAGGAAUAUUGGUCAAUGGACGAGAGUCUGAACCAGCCAAGUCGCGUGAAGGAAGACGGUUCUAUGAAUUGUAAACUUCUUUUGUGCAGGAAUAAAGUGGGUUACGUGUAACCUUUUGUAUGUACUGUACGAAUAAGGAUCGGCUAACUCCGUGCCAGCAGCCGCGGUAAUACGGAGGAUCCAAGCGUUAUCCGGAUUUAUUGGGUUUAAAGGGUGCGCAGGCGGGUUGAUAAGUCAGCGGUGAAAGUUUGCAGCUUAACUGUAAAAUUGCCGUUGAAACUGUCGAUCUUUAGUGCAAAUGAGGUAAGCGGAAUGUGUUGUGUAGCGGUGAAAUGCUUCGAUAUAACACAGAACACCGAUUGCGAAGGCAGCUUACUGGGAUGCAACUGACGCUCAUGCACGAAAGCGUGGGGAUCAAACAUGAUUAGAAACCCUGGUAGUCC